UACGGAGGGGGCAAGCGUUACUCGGAAUUAUUGGGCGUAAAGGGCGCGUAGGCGGUCGUGUGCGUCAGAGGUGAAAUCCCCGGGCUUAACCCGGGAGCUGCCUCUGGUACGGCAUGGCUUGAGUCCGGGAGAGGAGAGCAGAAUUCCCAGUGUAGCGGUGAAAUGCGUAGAUAUUGGGAGGAAUACCGGUGGCGAAGGCGGCUCUCUGGACCGGUACUGACGCUGAGGCGCGAAAGCGUGGGUAGCAAACAGG
rnacentral:rRNA from 1 species